rnacentral:lncRNA from 1 species
AAUAGUUCACUCUCCUUCAGCGUUCAGAUCCUGAGAGUUUUAUUGAGCGCCAUUAAUUUCUUCUCUCUUUUGGGUUUUAAGCGCCAUGAAUUUCGAAAACCUCAAAUCACAAAACCGAUGGUGAUGAUAAAAAAUUCGACUGCCGAAGAGAAACUGGAAUCAGAGUCGUUUGUCACUCGUAUUAAUCCGAGGCAAAUCGAACCCCUUGAAGCAUAAGAUUUCCUUCUUUACCACUUCCAUUUGAUUCCAGCUCCUUCGCUAUUCGCUUCAUAUACUCCUGAGCUAGCCUCAGCGAGCUGUAUUUUAGCUGCAACAAGGCGACAAAACUCCAUUCUGAUUGAUCUUGUUCCCCAUAUGAGACUCUCUCUUCGUCAGGGCACGAUAAAACUCUACGACUUCUGGAGCACGCCGCACAGAUCUUUUUCCAAGUGUUCUCUUUGAUGGAAGUGGUGGAGGUGGUGGCGGCUUUGUUGCUGUAGACUGACCUUGGAUCGUUGGCUUGGGAUUUGGAUUUCUGACCUCUUGACCCUUUGUGUUGGAUUUGACACUCUCUGGCGCUUUCAGGUUAGAUCCGUCUGUGUUGCUGCCAUCAUAUGAGCUCUGCAACUUCUUCCAUAGCAUUGAUUUCCUCUCAUUUUCAUGUGAUUUAAGAUUGCUUACUUGUGCUCUUAGACGGGCAACUUCUUGACGCAGCUCAUGAUUUUCCUUCUCCAGCUUAUCGUUCCUCACUAGAUAGGCUUGAAGCUCCUUCACCAGACGCAGGAGAUCUGAAUCAUCUUCUCCAUUAGAUUAAGUUUGAAGAUCCUCUGAGUCCGCAAAUAAGUCACAGUCCCAGCCAUGGAUCGAUCCCU